rnacentral:rRNA from 1 species
AACCUCCGCAAUGUGAGAAAUCGCGACGGGGGGAUCCCAAGUGCCAUUCUUAACGGGAUGGCUUUUCAUUAGUGUAAAGAGCUUUUGGAAUAAGGGCUGGGCAAGACCGGUGCCAGCCGCCGCGGUAACACCGGCAGCUCUAGUGGUAGCAGUUUUUAUUGGGCCUAAAGCGUCCGUAGCCGGUUUAAUAAGUCUCUGGUGAAAUCCUGUAGCUUAACUGUGGGAAUUGCUGGAGAUACUAUUAGACUUGAGACCGGGAGAGGUUAGAGGUACUCCCAGGGUAGAGGUGAAAUUCUGUAAUCCUGGGAGGACCGCCUGUUGCGAAGGCGUCUAACUGGAACGGUUCUGACGGUGAGGGACGAAAGUUAGGGGCGCGAAACCGGAUUAGAUACCCGGGUAGUCCUAACUGUAAACGAUGCGGACUUGGUGUUGGGGUGGCUUUGAGCUGCUCCAGUGCCGAAGGGAAGCUGUUAAGUCCGCCGCCUGGGAAGUACGGUCGCAAGACUGAAACUUAAAGGAAUU